ACGGGUGAGUAAUGUCUGGGAAACUGCCUGAUGGAGGGGGAGUAACUACUGGAAACGGUAGCUAAUACCGCAUAACGUCGCAAGACCAAAGAGGGGGACCGUUCGGGCCUCUUGCCAUCAGAUGUGCCCAGAUGGGAUUAGCUAGUAGGUGGGGUAACGGCUCACCUAGGCGACGAUCCCUAGCUGGUCUGAGAGGAUGACCAGCCACACUGGAACUGAGACACGGUCCAGACUCCUACGGGAGGCAGCAUG
rnacentral:rRNA from 1 species